AGAAAUCGUGGUCUCUAACAUAGGCCAUGGAUGACGGUACCGGACUAAGAAGCACCGGCUAACUACGUGCCAGCAGCCGCGGUAAUACGUAGGGUGCGAGCGUUAAUCGGAAUUACUGGGCGUAAAGCGUGCGCAGGCGGUUUUGUAAGACAGAUGUGAAAUCCCCGGGCUUAACCUGGGAACUGCGUUUGUGACUGCAAGGCUAGAGUACGGCAGAGGGGGGUGGAAUUCCUGGUGUAGCAGUGAAAUGCGUAGAGAUCAGGAGGAACACCGAUGGCGAAGGCAGCCCCUGGGCCUGUACUGACGCUCAUGCACGAAAGCGUGGGGAGCAAACAGGAUUAGAUACCCGGGUAGUCCACGCCCUAAAACGAUGUCGACUAGUCGUUCGGAGCAGCAAUGCACUGAGUGACGCAGCUAACGCGUGAAGUCGACCGCCUGGGGAGUACGGCCGCAAGGUUAAAACUCAAAGGAAUUGACGGGGACCCGC
rnacentral:rRNA from 1 species